UCACAACAACCCUUUGUGGAGGUCCCAUUA
rnacentral:piRNA from 2 species